AGCCAGGACGCCGGCCGGCCGGCCGCGAGCGCCCGGUGCGGGGCCGAGUUCGGCGGGAGCGCCUCCGUGACGAGCAACAGGUUCCCCCAACUUGGCGCAGCGGAGACGGCGUCCAAAAUGGAGCCCCAGCCGUCUGCCAGAGCUGUGCUCACGUGCGGCCCUUUUACGACACCAGGGAGCUCCUUUGCGGCCGCGCGGCCCCGGCGCCGCGCUCCGUCCGCGGUCCGUAGGUCCCGGCACGCCGAGGGCGCAGGGCUGGGUCCGAAGGCCUGGCGGUGUAGACGUCGGCCUCUUUGCGCCCGUGUGGCGCGCAGCGUGGUCCGGGGACGGCGCUGACUGCGUUGUACUCUUAGCUGCUUAACGUUCUCAGUCGUGAGUAGCCGAAUUGGGUCGGCACUGCUAGAGUCCUUUAGUGCAGCGGACUACGGGGGGGCGUGCUGAGCGUCAGGGGUUUGGGUCUGGGCCGUCCCGCCCCGGCCGCCACCCGCCCUGGCCUCCCGGGAGGUGGCUGUCCCCGACGCUCCCUGCCUGGCCCUGCUCUCCAUGCCGCCCAGCCCAGCCUCCGCCCGGAUUUUUGCUCGAAGCUUUCACCAGGACAACCAGACCCACCUGAUGAGACUUCUUCGAUGCACUGGACCAAUUUGGAAAAGAAUCAGAAUGCCUUCUGUUGAGCUGAUCAAAGGAACACCAAGGAUUGCCAACAGUCACCAGAAGCCGGAUGGGACAAGGAAAGAUUCUCUCCUUGAGACUUCAGAGGGAGCAUGGCCCUGCCGACACCUUCAUUUCUGAUUUCUAUCCUCUUGAAUUUUUCAGGUGUACAAAAUAGUGAUUCAACAAUUGUGUACAUUACUCAGGUGGCCAUCACGCUUUAUUCCAGUAUGGAAACCGCAGCCCUUGAUCAGCUGAGUGCCGCUAGGAACCAUCGCCAAGAGGCUGCAGGAAAGCCCAGGGCUUGGGGGAGUCUAGUCGCAGCUGGUGGUAAAGAAAUGUCUUC